rnacentral:lncRNA from 1 species
AUAGUGGCUUUGUUGGAGCUUUUCUUGUUAUUAUUAGAUGUAUAGGUACCAAUAGUGUCAAUGAAGUAUUAUCCACCUCUAGAACAAAGCUUCUUAUUUUUUAUUUAUUUUUGGUUAUCUUUUAUAUACAGCUCUAGAGUUGACAUUAUUAUAGUUCGAAGAAUCAUAAGACAUGGCAUUGCAAGGGUGAAAGGUGAUAAGACUAUGUUGUAGUAGUAAGAUUCUUUAAAUUCAAUUAUAAACUUGAUUUAUUUGCUUCUCUUA